GCGGCCGUUUCGGCCCAUGACACCUUCGGCAUGCGGGCGUCGGCGAAGGGGCGGAGCGGCGGCGAGGCGGACGGCGGCGGCCGCCGCAUUGCCACGGAGCGAGGGGAAAGUUGUAGCCUAAUCUAGCAACCUCUUUCAAGUAUCUGUCCAGUUCACCGACUCAAAUUAGGCCUUGUUAGAUGUUUCAGCUUUCACUACCAACGGCAUCGCCAGGUGAGCAUCUCUUCCAUUUCCGUGCCAUGAUAAAGAGCCGAAAACAUAACCUCGAGGAGGCACGUCCACAUGGAAGCUAACUGUGAAAGUCUUCUUUACACCGUAGUUCUCAAAGUUUAGGACUUCUGGUGUCACUGUUACGUUGAUGCCUCUAGGAGCAGACACCACACAAUGGUAGUUGCUCCUUGGAUUGCCCACAUUUGUCACAGUUCGAGUGACUGAGUAGCUCUUCUUCAGGUAUGGUAUGGUAAUUGAUGGGUAGUUCAGAGCAGUAGCAGACGAGGAGGAUCUAUGGCUGCCGGUACAGUUGUCUCCGGUUAUUAGAUGCAAGGAGCGGUCACCAUGGCUUGCGGCGCAUAAGAAUGACCUGUAAUCUUCAGGCUGUGCAUCAAAGAUGAUCCCUGGAUUCAGAGCUUUGAUGGGAUCCAUGAAACCCGAGCCGAAGUCGAAUGGGGUUGCAGCCUUCCCAUCAGGAUCUGUGGUUGUGGUUCUUCUUUUCUUAUCCAGUACAGUUGCUGCAAAUAAGAUUCAUGAGAUUUGUCGUAGUAAUACUAGUUUAUCUUCUGAAUCUGGUUAUCUGGUGGUACCUGUUGUCAUGAUUGCUGAUUUGAUGGCUGAAGGAGACCAUGAGGGAUAUACACUUUUGACAAGUGCUGCUAUUCCAGUAACAUGGGGACAUGCCAUGGAAGUUCCAGAUAGAAUAUUGAAGUGAAUGUUGUUCUUAGCAGGAGACCAUGCCGCCAAGAUGUUCAGGCCAGGAGCAGCAACAUCCGGCUACAAAAUGCACACAUUGAGAAGAAACAAAUGAACAUGUCAAUCAAUUUAUCAUCCAUGUUCGUCUAUCCAGCAGUUCAGUACUGGUUACCUUCAGAAUCUCAGGUGUCAGUGAACUUGGACCUCUUGAAGAGAAUGCCGCUACCCGUGGGCCAUCUCGCAACCCUACGAUCGUCUUUGCUGGCAAGAUCAUUGUACUGGCAUGCCUGUAAAAUUGAUUUUAGAACAAAGACUGACAUACUAAUAAAAUGCACUUUUUACAGUAGGUUUUAUCAACCUUGUACUCUUAAUGUAAGAAAUAAUCUUGUCACCCAUUUUUUUCCCAACAACAGUUCCAGGAACAGCGAAGUGAUUGGCAACAUGAUCCCCCAUCUCAUCAAUAAGAAUCAUCCCAGCUGCACCAGCUUCCUUGACAACCAUACUCGUUGAUACACGUGGUUCCGAGGAGCCUCUAGUACGGCGGCAAAUAAGAAUCUUUCCUCUGGCCUUGGUCCUAUUUAAAGAGCUGUCCAGACAAAAGCUAACAGCAAAGGCCCCAAGAAAUUCAGUUUGUUGAUAAUCUAAGUCAAGAUUUUCGUUCAAGAUUGUUCUUUGUUCUACCUGGAUUGAUAAGGGGUGAAAUAGCCCGCGUUGGCUUCUGAAGCUGGAAUAGUUCUGACAUAAGUUUUCAUGUGGUGCCAUUUGCCAGUCUGAUAUACGAGACAAAGGAUCUAUCGGUUGCUCCUGCUGCUACCGUGAGCAUCCAUGGUGCAAGGUUAGUUGCUGAGCCCUGUCUCCCAGCAUUCCCUGCAGAAGAAACAACCAGUAUUCCAUUGCUUGUUGCAUGAAACGAGCCGAUGGAUAUGGCAUCGCUGAAAUAGUCACCCUGAGGAUAGUCUGGGCCUAGAGACACAGAUAUAAUAUCAACACCAUCUCUGAUGGCAUCAUCAAAUGCUGCAAGAAUGUCUACAUCGUAACAGCCAGAGUCCCAGCACGUCUUAUAGGCAGCGAUCCUUGCCAUGGGGGCUCCUCCCCGUCCUCCUCCAGCGCCCAAACCUCCAUAAUUCAUGUUUCUUACAAAUCUUCCAACUGCUAUUGAGGCAGUAUGGCUGCCAUGACCGGAGCUAUCUCUUGGAGAUAUAAACUUGAUGGCAUUUUUACUUGAACCGCCCUCUUCUGUUUGGUAUCCAUUGAGGUAAUACCUACCUCCUAUGAUCUUCCUAUCAUAUUAGGGUAGAUGGGUGACUUUGGAAGAUCAAUAACUGGAUAACAUGUGUUAAUUUGAAGCAUGUACCUGUUACAUGUGAAAUUUGAUGGUGAAUUUGCCUCUCCUCUUUGGCAUUGCCCUCUCCAUCUUUUAGGAACUGGAGGCAUCCCAUGAUCACUGAAACUAGGGGAUUCUGGCCAAAUUCCUGGAAAGGCUAACAUACGACAGGAUUUAUUGAUGGAAGACAAGGUUUUUGGUGGCACAUGUGAUGAUUGCAGUGGAAACAAAUACUCACACUGACCGAAAGAAGCUGAUGCAAUUCAAACCAAUUAUGCAAUUGCAGUUCUACUCACCUGUGUCAAUGAACCCAACAAUGACAUUCUCCUGGUUCUUGGUGGACAAUCCAGGGACCUCACACUCUGCAUUGGUGGACAAGCCCAUGAAAUCCCACGAAUGGGUGGUAUGCAGUCUUCUCUUUGUGUUUGGAAACACCGAGACUACACCAGGCAUCUCUGCAGAAAUGAAUAUCAGACUUAGCAUCUCGGCAUAACAGCCAUCACCACUGGACUCACUUGGUAGAGUGCUACAUACACAUUCCAAAAGCCAUGUGUGAUGACAUUACCGGCUAAUCUUCUGGCUUGCUCUUUGUUCAGUUUGGCCGCAAAUCCUUGGAAACUGCUGCUGUAAGUGUAGACAUGUGAUGCCUGUGCCUUCUCCAAGCUGUGGAGACGAAGCAUCCACUCAAGCUAACGGUAUAUAGCAGCACUGGAAGCUAGAGCAAUGGAUAUGAUGUUUUUCACGGACCUUCCAUCGUGAACAGCAGCCAGCAUCUGGUGGUGAAGCCUCAUGAUGUCCUGUUGACGAUCACUAUCGCCCUGCAACCCCAUGCCCAUGUAAACCACAUACACCUGAAGUUGACAUCCAUUUGGAAAGGGUUACACCGUUGGAACAUCUCAAGAAAGAAGAGGCGGCUCAUGCAGACACAAGCGCAGAAGAGUUAGGCAUCAUUGAUAGAAUCCAACAAAGCAGUGUUGCGCACCUGAGAACAAGAGCAGCAGCGGAGGCCUCCCAGUAGCACCAGAGCGAGCACGAGGAAGAGCACGGCUCUGCCCGGAGAAGAAGCCAUGACAGACACGCAGACCCACACUGAUGCGCAAAUACGAAGGGAAAGUGAAAGAUCUGCGGUUUGGAUAGCAAGUGUGCAGGGCCAGUUCUGUAUGAAAGCAGCAGCUUCCUGAAACUGCUGCCAAGCUACUCGAUGCCUGGGAACAUAAAGCCCUGUACAGGAAUCCCGGAGCAAUGAGUGGCCGUUAACCGCACCUUUUUCGUCGCCUCUGCCACUCGCAAUCCUAGCCGGUGCAAGAUGGCAACAAGAUUACAUAAGUGAAGACAAGGAUGUCGAAAGCGUCAUGAUGCGGUAUGGGAACCGCAGAGGCUGAGCUAGCGAGGGCAUCACAAAUGAGAGCAGCCACGCACUUCGUCAUGGAUGGGCACUUCUUCUUCUUCUUUUUUUUUUUUUACCGUUGCCGUAGCGGCAUCUUUUACCUCCCACUCCAGGUUGUUUAACCAGGUAACCAUCUCUUGUUUACAUGCAUGCUCAGCCUGCGCAA